AUUUAAAUAGCUUAUAUUUAGAGCAUAACACUGAAGAUGUUAGGGAGAUUAAUUUAAUCUUUAAAUA
rnacentral:tRNA from 1 species